rnacentral:rRNA from 1 species
UACGUAGGGGGCUAGCGUUGCUCGGAAUCACUGGGCGUAAAGCGCACGUAGGCGGACUCUUAAGUCGGUGGUGAAAUCCUGGAGCUCAACUCCAGAACUGCCUUCGAUACUGGGAGUCUCGAGUCCGGGAGAGGUGAGUGGAACUGCGAGUGUAGAGGUGAAAUUCGUAGAUAUUCGCAAGAACACCAGUGGCGAAGGCGGCUUACUGGUCCGGUUCUGACGCUGAGGCGCGAAAGCGUGGGGAGCAAACAGG